AGGUGUUUCUUUGUAAACGGACAGAGAUUCUGUAGAAGUUGAUGGCAAUGAUCAGACUUAUGAUUGGAGAAGUCCUCACUUUGCCUCAUACAUCCAAUGAUGAUACAAAAAGAUUUCAGUUAUUUCAAAGAAUUUAGUUGGAAGAAACCUUCUUUUAUUAUAUGUUUGUAGAACUUAGAGAAUUUGGUCCUUAUUUUGUUAUGUAAACGACUUUUUCGAUUCUAUGAAACUUAAGAUAUGCAUCAGCAUUGCUAUAGCCAUGUCCAGUCAGAGAGGUCAAAUGAUGUUUAUGACUUGGCCUAUUCAAAUGUUAAAUCAAUUGUCAACUCUGCGGUCAUGCUAAAGCCAUUUAUACCAUCUUGGGUUUUCUUUGAUUUUAGCUUAACUUUAGGAAGAGUACACACAUCUUUGUAAAAGCAGAACAAGACAAAGUAAUUUUAUUAAUUGAUUUUGAUUGAACCAAGUCAACUAAUUUCUGCAAAUAAGGAUGUAUUAAAUUCAAGCAACGUACAACAAGUAGUUGAAGCCAAAUUUUUGGAAAUUUGGGACUGUAAUCAAAACCCAAAGUCCUCUCCUACUUUCUUCCUUGUGACCUUUGAUCACGAAAGAUACACAGUUCUCUCACCGAUCUCAAUACUAUUAAUCCUGAUAUCAGAAGUAUACAUAUUUUGAUGAAUUUGAAGGUAGACAACAUAAAAAGUAUAUAGAUAUACACCGUGUGUCUGUGUGUCAUCACUAAAAAGAGAAGGAAGUAGACAGAUGCCAGUUAUUACUACCUUAUUUUAUGACUGCUUCUGGGAAUUGGAGUAGUGAGACUAGCUAAGGUGAUUGCAGGAAAUAGGCUAAUACUUCAAGAAUAAGCUAAUGGGUUCCAUCAUUCUUUUUGUGCAGAAAGAUAUUCAUGGGAGGCUUGACAAAGAACAAGCGGUUCUUUGCUUUGCUCAGCUCACUGGCAUUGGUUACAAUUCUGAGUUCAAUUGCGUGUGAAUUUGGUUUCAAUGUUGGAGGUUUGGGAUUAACUUGGGUUUGUUUCUGUUGACGACUACAGAUGUAGAGAGGGAAACUCUGUUGGAUAUUAUGCGGCUGUGAAGGGCUUCUCUGCUUUGCUUAUCCGCAUUGGUAAGCACUCAUUGAAUUGAGUCUGUAGCUUUUACUGUCACUCUUAACGGAGCCCAAUUGGAGUAGAAUUUAUACCAUCUUGGAUUUUCUUUGAUUUUAGCUUAACUUUAGGAAGAGUACACACAUCUUUGUAAAAGCAGAACAAGACAAAGUAAUUUUAUUAAUUGAUUUUGAUUGAACCAAGUCAACUAAUUUCUGCAAAUAAGGAUGUAUUAAAUUCAAGUAACAUACAACAAGUAGUUGAAGCCAAAUUUCCAGUAACAGACAAGUUUUUACUCAUAAAAUAGUAAGUGUUUUUGCUUUCCAGACUUUUGUUGAAUUUGAAUCUGGGUUUCCCCGUCUUCGUCUUUGCUCAUGGAACAUGUUGUGGAUUUUAAUUCUUGAAUCCAUGGUCUUCAUAAGAAGAUUUUCAACUGAUAGUACCGUGCCAUUCAGUUAGCAUGAUUCAUUUUUUUGUGCAUGAACAUUCAACUGAUACUUCAUAAGGUUGUUGAUGAACUCUACUUGCAGGCACCAGAAGGUAUGGGUAACCAGACUUGGACUUUGAACACCCAGUUAAUGUGGCACAAUUCUUUUCCUUUGCAAUGUUUUUGCAUACGAUUUAAAGUCUAUUUCUGGUAUUUAUUUUUCAAAACAGUAGAAGUCAAUGUUGGAUUGGAUUGUCAAACAUUGGAAACAAUCUUAGACUGUUCAUAUGUUGUUCUCCUGUAAGAUAUAACUAGCCUCUUGGGUUCAAAAUUUGUAAUUGUGCAGGUAGAUACUACCUUUUGGAUUAGAAGUAUGCAAACAUGCCUAGCUUCAUUGCUCCAUAUCGUGGUGUACCUUACUACUUGAAGAAUGUUACUACUUCAUUGUUUUUGUGCUUGAACAGGAUGUAGUACUGGGAAAGAUGCAAACUACGUUAUUCUCUUAUUGGUUCAUAUUUCGAAAAUCUUCUGCUUACAUACAGUAUUGCUAUAUAGGUUAAAUAUUCUUACUGAGCUGCUGUGUUUUGGGGAUCAAGAGUUCUAUAAAGAUUGCUGAAAUGCAAAAAUAGUUGAGGAGGUAAAACCACCUUCUUAUUGGCACUUGCAGGAAAACUGGAUAAAUCCCUUAAGGUUGUAGGGGAGAUUUCAUACAAUGGUUACAAGCUAGAUGAGUUUGUUCCUCAAAAAACUCCAGCGUACAUAAGCCAACACGACCUUCACAUACCUGAGAUGCCAGAUAUUGACACUUACAUGAAGGCAAUCUCAGUUGAAGGACAAAAGAAAAACCUCCAAACUGACUAUGUUUUGAAGUGAAUGCCAGAUGCGGCACAUCUGAAUACCAGAUAUUUAAUGUAUUUUUGUCAUGUCCAACCAUUUUUGUAACCAGUAUCAAAAGCAACUUUGGUUAGAAUGUUGAUUUUUUGAAAAUCAUAAAUAGCCAAGCUUAGUCUGUUUGGAACUUCGAUUUUUGAAACAUGUAAAUAUAUGAAUCUGGU